rnacentral:rRNA from 1 species
UACAGAGGUGGCAAACGUUGUCCGGAUUUAUUGGGUGUAAAGGGCAUGUAGGUGGUCUAGUAAGUCAAAGGUGAAAUGGCCCGGCUCAACCGAGUCAUUGCCUUUGAAACUGCUGGACUAGAGUACGGAAGAGGAGAGUGGAAUUCCCAGUGUAGCGGUGAAAUGCGUAGAUAUUGGGAGGAACACCGGUGGCGAAGGCGGCUCUCUGGUCCGAAACUGACACUGAGAUGCGAAAGCCAGGGGAGCAAACGGG